ACUUUGUGGACUGUGGAGUCCAGACUCUGCUGACUCUGCUGUAGCCCACUGACCCUCCUGUACCAGGGGGUGAUGUGUGCCAGUCUGCACUGCGACAAGAUGACAUCCUGGCCUUUGGAGUGCUAGAAGCAACAAACUUAAAAAAUCUACAUUACCAGGAUGCUUUCUCUCUCUGACAUCCCUCCCUCGCUCGCUUUGAGACCCAUUUUAACACACCGACCGUGGCGGCUCAACACUUACACCUGAUGGGCGUGGUCACUGACUGUGCUCCAUGAUUGGCUUGGCUAGGACCACGGUCCUGGGGUUUGGACCGCUUUUAAACCACCUCAACCACUGUCACGCAGGGAAGAGAGGAAGUAAUUUUGGUGCCUCAGCAUUUUCAUAACACAAGGCAAUGUGUGGUGUCACAUUUUUUAUUUUUUAGUUUGUGGUUUUUGUUGGGUUUUUUGAUUGUCCCAAACCAAAAGACUUUUACGCUCACCUGUGCAUAUUUAUAUUUUAUUUUGUACUAUUUAUGUUGAAAUUAUUUUAAUGUCGGUUUGUUUGGGUUUAAGCUUUUAGCGGGGCCUCUCUGUACAUAGAUUUGUAAUACAGUAAAUUCAUCUUUAGAAUAGUGAUAUCAAUUAACUUUCCCUUUAUUAAUUCACGUUCCAUCCCCAUACUGCUUCAAUUUAAGAAACUAGUGCGUUGAAUUAUUACGAGGGCAGCAUUGGGCACAACACUAACACAUAUUUCAGGUACUAUUUGUUUUGUUCCUGUCUUAAUAAGCUACUUUAGUCACCAUUUUGUUUUCCAUCACUGUAUUCCAAGUGCCUGCCUGCUUUUCUGUUAUGAGGGGUUUAUUUAGAAUUGGGAUGCACUGGUAUCUCGAGUGUUGCUGUUUCCAAAGUUAUGGAUCCUUUUAUUGUGGCACUGGUCAAUGUUUCUUAGGUUAUGUCCCAAAUGGCACCCUGUUCCCUAUUUAGUGAACUAUAUAGGGUGCCAUUUGGGGAGUUGACUUGGACUGUUCCAGCUCUUCCAAGAGGAAAAUCACUGCGUCAAUUUCCCAUGAAGGUGUUGAUAAACUACUUUUAUAAUGCAGCCUGGGUCGGGAAAUCUUUUUUAAAAUUUUAAUUCACUCAAAUUAAGGACAUAACUAAAAGCAAUGUGUUCCAUCACUACAGUUUGAAGUUCACUUUAUUGAGAGAAAUUGUUGCACUGAUUUUGUGUGUUUAAGAUUAUUUUUUUUCGAGAUGGUGUCAUUUUGAUUUCAUGAAUGAAAAACCCUGACGUAAUCACGUUUCAGGCCAAUGGGUUAACUGGGUGCAUUUAAAUGGGAUAACAUUUGGAUAUAUAGGAUCAUGGGUGGGAUUUCAUAUCAGUAACAUCCAGCAGGUUUGCCCAGGUGUAUGUGGACGUAAGGUUUUGCCUGCCCUGGAUAACCUCUUCUAAAUGUACCCUCGGCAUGCAUAGUUGUACCUUGUCAUGGAUCUCUUGGUUUAGUUUUUUGUCAAUUCCCCUGCUAUGACCCAUGCUAUUCGGUACCCAACGUUGUUUAAAAUGGCACCCUAUUGCUUAUAGUGCACUACUUCUCUGGUCGAAAGUAACAUUUGGGAUGUAACCUAGCCAUUGAUCUUAAAGGAAUCUAAUCAUGUUGAUGGGAAUAUGAUGGUUAGAGCUUUUCUAGAUCACUGUACUGGUUUAAGUUGGGUUCUUGUUGAGGUGUUCUUGUUGAGGUGUUCAUGUUAACAAUUUAAGGUUUGGAUUUUGUUUAAAAUAAAUAAAUAAAUAUAUAAAUACAAAUAAAUUUGAAUUAAGUAAUCACACACUCGUACUUU
rnacentral:lncRNA from 1 species